CCCUUAGAUGGUCUGGGCGGCACGCGCGCUACAAUGAUGCAUUCAAAAAGUCUUCUGACCUUAGAAGGUUGGGUAUUCUCCAAAGUGCAUCGUGAUGGGAAUAGUUUAUUGCAAUUUUUAAUCUUGAACGAGGAAUUCCUAGUAAGUACAGGUCAUCAACUUGUGUUGAUUACGUCCCUGCCCUUUGUACACACCGCCCGUCGCUCCUACUGAUUGAGUGUCUCGGUGAAUUCUUUGAUCUUCUGUCGAUUCAGUUCACUGACCCGACGGUGGAAAGUUGAAUGAACUUCGUCACUUAGAGGAAGGAGAAGUCGUAACA
rnacentral:rRNA from 1 species